rnacentral:rRNA from 1 species
GUGGGGAAUCUUGCGCAAUGGGCGAAAGCCUGACGCAGCCAUGCCGCGUGAAUGAUGAAGGUCUUAGGAUUGUAAAAUUCUUUCACCGGGGACGAUAAUGACGGUACCCGGAGAAGAAGCCCCGGCUAACUUCGUGCCAGCAGCCGCGGUAAUACGAAGGGGGCUAGCGUUGCUCGGAAUUACUGGGCGUAAAGGGCGCGUAGGCGGACAGUUUAGUCAGAGGUGAAAGCCCAGGGCUCAACCUUGGAAUUGCCUUUGAUACUGGCUGUCUUGAGUACGGGAGAGGUGAGUGGAACUCCGAGUGUAGAGGUGAAAUUCGUAGAUAUUCGGAAGGACACCAGUGGCGAAGGCGACUCACUGGCCCGUUACUGACGCUGAGGCGCGAAAGCGUGGGGAGCAAACAGGAUUAGAAACCCUGGUAGUCC